AGGGGCGGAUGUAGCCAAGAGGAUUAAGGCAGUGGAUUGUGAAUCCACCAUGCGCG
rnacentral:tRNA from 1 species